rnacentral:rRNA from 1 species
UACAAAAAGUGCAGGCGUUAUUCGGAAUGACUGGGCGUUAAGGGUAUGUAGGCAGCUGAAUGUAACCAAGUGGGAAAGACUCAAGUAUCAGUUGAGAAGACCAUUUAAAGAUUAUUAAGCUAGAGUAGAUGUGAAGUUGGGAGAAUUAGUAAAGUAAUGGAGUUAAAUCCUGCGAUAUUGCUACGAAGUCCGAUGGCGAAGGCACCUUUCUAGCAUAAACGGACGCUGAGGUACGAAAGGGUUGGGAGCAAAGCGG